UACGUAGGGUGCGAGCGUUGUCCGGAAUUAUUGGGCGUAAAGAGCUCGUAGGCGGCUUGUCACGUCGGAUGUGAAAGCCCGGGGCUUAACUCCGGGUCUGCAUUCGAUACGGGCUGGCUAGAGUGUGGUAGGGGAGAUCGGAAUUCCUGGUGUAGCGGUGAAAUGCGCAGAUAUCAGGAGGAACACCGGUGGCGAAGGCGGAUCUCUGGGCCAUUACUGACGCUGAGGAGCGAAAGCGUGGGGAGCGAACGGG
rnacentral:rRNA from 1 species